rnacentral:tRNA from 1 species
GCGGUCGUGGUCUAGUCUGGUCUAGGACUCAGACGCCCGAGGCGGAGUAAGCCUUCCAAGCCUGCUACCCGGGUUCAAAUCCCGGCGACCGCA